rnacentral:lncRNA from 1 species
AGCUAUCGACCCAGGAAGCAGUCCAACCCAGACCAGUCCCUCUCCUCCUGGAGGCUUCUGGAUCCCCAGUGCAGCCCAGGACUCCAUAAAGGACCUCAGGAAGGGUCUCUCACGGUGCCUGAAGCUUGCUGCUUGACUGGCUGGCCAAGGAGCGCCAGGAGGGCCGCCUGCCUCUGCUUGCUCAGCGCUGACAUCACAUCACCAUCGUACCUGAUUUUACGUGGAACCUGGGAACUAUUUCAGGGCCUCAGGUUUACCCAGCAAGCCAUCGCUCCAGCCCUGGGCACUUCACUGUUGGAGCACAAAUGCAGACAGCUCACAUACCAAUCCACACCCAGGACACCCACCUAGGGGAAGAGGUGUAACUUUAUACGACUCCUGCUUCCGUCGUGCUGGGGACUCUCUGGUCAACAAUGUUUGUGGGAGAUGCCUUCAUACAGAACAGGGCAAUGUGCUCACUUUGAUCUUUAGUCCUCUUCCUGUGGGAAGGACAAAUUCCUAAACCCAUCAGGCAGGCAGAAGAUGGAGCCUCGCUAUGAAUGUUCAGCCGAC